AUUGAACGCUGGCGGCAGGCCUAACACAUGCAAGUCGAACGAGUGGCGGACGGGUGAGUAAUGCCUAGGAAUCUGCCUGGUGGUGGGGGAUAACGUCCGGAAACGGGCGCUAAUACCGCAUACUACCAGAUGAUUCUAGGUCGGAUUAGCUAGUUGGUGGGGUAAAGGCCUACCAAGGCGACGAUCCGUCGCUGGUCUGAGAGGAUGAUGAGGCAGACUGGAACGGAGACACGGUCCAAACGCCAACGGGAGGCGGCAGUGGGGAAUAGUGCACAAUGGGGGGGGGACUGAUGCAGACAUGCCGCGAGUAUGAAGAAGGACUUCGGGUUGUAAGAUGAUGUUAGCGGGGAGGCGUUACCCGCAGAAGAAGCACCGGCUAACUCCGUGCCAGCAGCCGCGGUAAUAC
rnacentral:rRNA from 1 species